GGAAGUUAAGAAACUGUUUUUUAACUUUUAACUAAAAAAGUUAAGAACCGGUUCUUAAAUAAGGACUUUAAAAACCGGUUCUUAAAUAAGGACUUUAAGAACCGGUUCUUAAAUAAGGUAUUUAAGAACCGGUUCUUAACUUUUUUAGCUAAAAGUUAAGAAACAGUUUUUUAACUUCC
rnacentral:pre_miRNA from 1 species